GCCAGCCGGGGCAGAGAGGGAGAGGGGUCGUGGAAAGGAGACAAAGGGACAAAGCCGAAAGACACUGGAAGGCAGUGUUUCUCCAAGUGUGGUCUGCAGUCCACUUGUGUCAGGUUUGUUGGCAAGUUCGUUUAAAAUGCAGAUUCCAGGCCUCACUCUUAGACUAAAGAGGGGGAUGGGGCUCGGGAAUUGAUAACUAACAAGCGUCCCUGAUGAUGCUGGAGUUUGUGAAAGUUUGAGGAACUUCCACUAAGUGAAAACUCAGCAUGACCCGGGGACAAAGUGAGCUGGGAAGGAGAGAGCAAAGUAGCCAUGAGUCAAGGAUAACAUGAAAGUUUUUUGUUUUAUGUUUUUUAUAUUGUGUUAAAUACAUAUAAAAUUUACCCCUGCAACCAUUUUUCUCCAUUGUAACCAUUAUUAAGUGUGCAGUUCAGUGGCAUUAAGUACAUUCACAUUGUUGGACAACCAUCAUCACCAUCCGUGUCCAGAACGUUGUCAUCUUCCCAAACUGAAGCUCUGUCCCCAUUAAACACUGACUCCCCUUCCCAACUCCUCCAGCCUCUGGGGACACGAAAGUUUUGAGUCUGGGAGACUAUGGAAGCACGGAAGGAAACAGGGGUGUAGGAAAAGGCUGCAGAUUUUCAGAGGGAAGAUGAAUUCCAAUUUUGAUUUCCAGCUGAGCUAAGCAUAUUUACAUAUGGAAAUAUCCCAGAACCAGCUGUGGAAAGAAAUGUGAAGUCCAGGGCAGGAGCAGCAGAUGUGGAAGUGUCUGCAUGUCACAGGAGCUAAAGUGAUCUCGGGUUUGGCUCCUGGGUGCGGACCUACACCACUCAUCAGUGGCCAUGCUGUGGCGGCAACCCACAUACAAUAUAGAGGAAGAUUGGCACAGAUGUUAGCUCAGGGUGAAUCUUCCUCAGCAAAAAACAAGACGGCCCCAGCCCACUGGGGCUUCCUCAGCAGGGCUUCUCGCAAUUUCUCUGCUGUCCCACUGGUGAACUUCCUGCUGCUACCACCUAGGAAAAAACAAGACAAAUUCUCCACUCUUUAGAGAAAGGUAGGUCCUGUACUGUCCCAAGC
rnacentral:lncRNA from 1 species